rnacentral:lncRNA from 1 species
AUGGUGAAGUGCAGACCUUUUUAUUUACCGAAGGAGUUCAAUGCUGUGUUUCUGCUGGCUGUCUACAUCCCGCCGCGUCCGAUCGGACCACCACGCAAGGACUACUGCACGACGUCAACACGAGACCGCUCACCCGUGUUUGUUGUUGCCGGGGAUUUGAAUCACUGCAACCACGUCUACAGGAACGUAAGGGGCGCAUACAAGGCAGUGCCUCGCCUCCUUUUCAGACAGUCUGACCACAGCAUACAGGCAGCUCCUGGAACAAGCCCCCCCCAAUAUUUGAUCAUCGACCUGAAGAUGGAUGUAUCAACAGCAGUUAUUACACUUACUGUGUUUGGGCUUUAAACUGAUUCUAAACAGAAUAUUAAACUCCAAGUGUUUGUGUGUGUAUGCUGGUUUAAAUGCUUACAACUUUCUACAGUAUGAUGUAGAAACCACACCGUAUUUGACCACACUGUAUACAUGCCUUUUUCCAUAUUUAGCGGUUACUGUUGUGGAACUGUUGAAUAAUCACAGGUUAACCAAGUCAAAGUCCUUGUAAACAUUAAAAUCUAAAAUAUCUGCUCUGUGUUGUUUAUUCAUGUCAUCUUGCAUCAAUCACAAAGUUCUAUUGCUACAAUAUAGGAAAACUGUCACCUAGACAUGCUUGAUGAAGCUGUAAUUAUGACCUCUGCAGCUGCUGUGUAGGACAUUUUUAGCAGACCAACAAAAUCUCAACAAUAUUCAAAAACUGAGGAGAUAAAACAGAUUCUCACCUCAAGUCUCUGCAACUUCAGUCCCUGUGACUUUCUGCCCAAGCCAAAGAAAAUUUAUAUAUUUGAGCUGCUGGUGCAACAGAAUCAAGCACCUGCUGGUUGAAAGAUGAGUAAAUGUGUAACUGUACAUGUCUGACUAAACAUUUUAAUUCUGUUCACUCAUUGCUCUCUUUACCCAGUGUAAAUAAAAAACCUUCCAAAGAUUACUGUCGCUUUCAAUAAAUGCCCAAAACAAAAAAACCCAGUUGCCAUGAAGUUAUAUCUAAACAUCUGUGAUUGGAUAUUUAAGAUUUAGAGGGAUUUGAAAACAACCACUACCAUGAGAAUGUAAAAAGAGAGAAAUUGACCUGUCAAGAGUGCAGCUUCAUUGCUGGCUUGUCUAAUGUUCUCAGUUGUUGCUUCUCAAUUCUUUCCUACAUAAAUUAGCUUAACUAUUUAUAUAGUACUACUAGGACCUCUAAAUGUCAUCAUUUGAAUCAUAGUGAAAGAAAUGUAUGAAUGUGACCACAGCCAUUGAGCAUUUUUCACUUUUAAAGCUUAUGAACACUUCAAAAUGCCAAAAGA